rnacentral:rRNA from 1 species
UACGUAGGAUGCAAGCGUUGUCCGGAAUUACUGGGCGUAAAGAGCUCGUAGGUGGUUUGUCGCGUUGUUCGUGAAAUCUCACGGCUUAACUGUGAGCGUGCGGGCGAUACGGGCAGACUGGAGUACUGCAGGGGAGACUGGAAUUCCUGGUGUAGCGGUGGAAUGCGCAGAUAUCAGGAGGAACACCGGUGGCGAAGGCGGGUCUCUGGGCAGUAACUGACGCUGAGGAGCGAAAGCGUGGGGAGCGAACAGG